rnacentral:rRNA from 1 species
GACGGAGGGUGCAAGCGUUGUUCGGAAUCACUGGGCGUAAAGCGCGUGUAGGCGGUUCGAUCAGUCGAGUGUGAAAGCCCGAGGCUCAACCUCGGAAGUGCACUCGAAACUGUCGAGCUUGAGUACGGGAGAGGGAAGUGGAAUUCCUGGUGUAGAGGUGAAAUUCGUAGAUAUCAGGAGGAACACCGGUGGCGAAGGCGGCUUCCUGGACCGAUACUGACGCUGAGACGCGAAAGCGUGGGGAGCAAACAGGGAUUAGAUACCCUGGUAGUCCACGCCGUAAACUGUGAGCACUAGGUGUAGCGGGUACUGACCCCUGCUGUGCCGACGCUAACGCAUUAAGUGCUCCGCCUGGGGAGUACGGCCGCAAGGUUAAAACUC